CAUCUCCAAAAGUAGGAAAUAUGACUUCUGUAAAUAAGUGAAACGAGAUGAUAACCUUGAAGAGAGUCUGUCUUUGAAAGUGUAACGAAAACAGGGUUCCAUUUGACGAUGACAGUGAUGAAGAAGUAUAAAGCAAAGCAAAGUUCAGAAAGAAACAU